UCGAGGGGUAACAGAGAGAAGCUUGCUUCUUUGCUGACGACCGGCGCACGGGUGCGUAACGCGUAUACAAUCUACCUUUUGCUGAGGGAUAGCCCAGAGAAAUUUGGAUUAAUACCUCAUAGUAUAUAUGAAUCGCAUGGUUUAUAUAUUAAAGGUUACGGCAGAAGAUGAGUAUGCGUUCUAUUAGCUAGAUGGUGUGGUAACGGCACACCAUGGCAACGAUAGAUAGGGGCCCUGAGAGGGGGAUCCCCCACACUGGUACUGAGACACGGACCAGACUCCUACGGGAGGCAGCAGUGAGGAAUAUUGGACAAUGGGCGAGAGCCUGAUCCAGCCAUGCCGCGUGCAGGAAGACUGCCCUAUGGGUUGUAAACUGCUUUUAUACAGGAAGAAACACUCCCUCGUGAGGGAGCUUGACGGUACUGUAAGAAUAAGGAUCAGCUAACUCCGUGCCAGCAGCCGCGGUAAUACGGAGGAUCCAAGCGUUAUCCGGAAUCAUUGGGUUUAAAGGGUCCGUAGGUGGAUAAUUAAGUCAGAGGUGAAAGUCUGCAGCUCAACUGUAGAAUUGCCUUUGAUACUGGUUAUCUUGAAUUAUUAUGAAGUAGUUAGAAUAUGUAGUGUAGCGGUGAAAUGCAUAGAUAUUACAUAGAAUACCAAUUGCGAAGGCAGAUUACUAAUAAUAUAUUGACACUGAUGGACGAAAGCGUGGGGAGCGAACAGGAUUAGAUACCCUGGUAGUCCACGCCGUAAACGAUGGAUACUAGCUGUUCGGAUUUAUCUGAGUGGCUAAGCGAAAGUGAUAAGUAUCCCACCUGGGGAGUACGUUCGCAAGAAUGAAACUCAAAGGAAUUGACGGGGGCCCGCACAAGCGGUGGAGCAUGUGGUUUAAUUCGAUGAUACGCGAGGAACCUUACCAGGGCUUAAAUGUAAGUUGCAUGAUUUAGAGAUAGAUCUUUCUUCGGACUACUUACAAGGUGCUGCAUGGUUGUCGUCAGCUCGUGCCGUGAGGUGUCAGGUUAAGUCCUAUAACGAGCGCAACCCCUGUUGUUAGUUGCCAGCGAUUCAAGUCGGGAACUCUAACAAGACUGCCAGUGCAAACUGUGAGGAAGGUGGGGAUGACG
rnacentral:rRNA from 1 species